UACGUAGGUGCGAGCGUUGUCCGGAAUUAUUGGCGUAAAGGGCUCGUAGGCGGUUUGUCGCGUCGGAGUGAAUCCACUGGCUUAACUGGUGGCUUGCUUCGAUACGGGCAGACUGGAGGUAUGCAGGGAGAACGGAAUUCUGGUGUAGCGGUGAAAUGCGCAGAUAUCAGGAGGAACACCGGUGGCGAAGCGGUCUCUGGCAUGUCCUGACGCUGAGGAGCGAAAGUGUGGGAGCGAACAGG
rnacentral:rRNA from 1 species